UAGGGAAUCUUCCACAAUGGACGCAAGUCUGAUGGAGCACCCGCCGUGAGUGAAGAAGGUUUUCGGACCGUAAAGCUCUGUUGUUGGUGAAGAUGGAUAGAGGUAGUAACUGGCCUUUAUUUGACGGUAAUCAACCAGAAAGUCACGGCUAACUACGUGCCAGCAGCCGCGGUAAUACGUAGGUGGCAAGCGUUGUCCGGAUUUAUUGGGCGUAAAGCGAGCGCAGGCGGAAGAAUAAGUCUGAUGUGAAAGCCCUCGGCUUAACCGAGGAAUUGCAUCGGAAACUGUUUUUCUUGAGUGCAGAAGAGGAGAGUAGAACUCCAUGUGUAGCGGUGGAAUGCGUAGAUAUAUGGAAGAAUACCAGUGGCGAAGGCGGCUCUCUGGUCUGCAACUGACGCUGAGGCUCGAAAGCAUGGGUAGCGAACAGGAUUAGAUACCCUGGUAGUCCAUGCCGUAAACGAUGAGUGCUAAGUGUUGGGAGGCUUCCGCCUCUCAGUGCUGCAGCUAACGCAUUAAGCACUCCGCCUGGGGGAGUACGACCGCAAGGUUGAAAC
rnacentral:rRNA from 1 species